AUCGUCAGGAUCGUCAGUAUGGUAGUGGUGUCCAAGACAUCUAAGUUAUGAAACGUUUUCCCUCACUCGCAGACUGCAAUGGUCGGUUCGAAUCCCACAGGAAGCAUGGAUUUCUAUUUGCUCUUAUUCUAUGCUUGUGUUGGUAGCGGCCUUCCGACACUUCCGACCGGCUGAUCCGCUGUCCAAGGAGGUCUACCGACUGUCCUGGAAUGGUGGUAUCAGUGAAGGGUAGCUGUUUCCAGCGAUGAAGGAUGUCGAGUUUCUGAGUGAGCAGGAGCCACAUGGCAUCUUCAUCUCUGUGGAUCCAUGCCAGAUCGUAGUCUGUACUGGACGUGUUUGUGUAUGGGAGGCUUCUGAGAUGGUGCAGCUUCUGGAUGCAAGAAUUUCACAAGAGGAGGUAAACUAAGUUAAUUUUGCUUCCAUGUUGCGUUACAUUACCUCACUUCAUCAUCAUAUUUGCAUUCAGUUUACAGAGUUUCAGUGACAUUCAAGCAUCAGUAUUAAGUAGCAAGCAGGAAAUGCUUGCAAAUGUAUGAAUAGUGCUGCCUUUUGAAAGCCAGGGUGCUAGGAUUCAAGGCAAGAGCACACUGAGACACAUGUGCAUGCACACCCU